rnacentral:rRNA from 1 species
AUUGAACGCUGGCGGCAUGCCUUACACAUGCAAGUCGAACGGCAGCGGGGGAGAAGCUUGCUUUUCCUGCCGGCGAGUGGCGAACGGGUGAGUAAUACAUCGGAACGUGCCCUGUAGUGGGGGAUAACUAGUCGAAAGAUUAGCUAAUACCGCAUACGACCUGAGGGUGAAAGUGGGGGACCGCAAGGCCUCAUGCUAUAGGAGCGGCCGAUGUCUGAUUAGCUAGUUGGUGGGGUAAAGGCCUACCAAGGCAACGAUCAGUAGCUGUUCUGAGAGGACAAUCAGCCACACUGGGACUGAGACACGGCCCAGACUCCUACGGGAGGCAGCAGUGGGGAAUUUUGGACAAUGGGCGAAAGCCUGAUCCAGCAAUGCCGCGUGUGUGAAGAAGGCCUUCGGGUUGUAAAGCACUUUUGUCCGGAAAGAAAUGGCUCUGGUUAAUACCUGGGGUCGAUGACGGUACCGGAAGAAUAAGGACCGGCUAACUACGUGCCAGCCGCCGCAGUAA